GAUGAAGAACGUAGCGAAAUGCGAUACUUGGUGUGAAUUGCAGAAUCCCGUGAACCAUCGAGUCUUUGAACGCAAGUUGCGCCCGAAGCCAUUAGGCCGAGGGCACGCCUGCCUGGGCGUCACACGUCGUUGCCCCCCCAUCUACUCCUUCGGGAUUGCGGGGGGCGGAUGAUGGCCUCCCGUGCGCCUCGCCGCGCGGUUGGCAUAAAUGCCAAGUCCUCGGCGACGCACGCCACGACAAUCGGUGGUUGCGAAACCUCGGUUGCCCGUCGUGUGCGGUCGUCGCGCAUCGAGGGCUCGAAAAAAUUGCCGGGUUCCGGCUCGGCUUUCAACGCGACCCCAUGUCAGGCGGGGUUACCCGCUGAAUUUAAGCAUAUCAAUAAGCGGAGGA
rnacentral:misc_RNA from 1 species